AACGAACGCUGGCGGCAGGCUUAACACAUGCAAGUCGAGCGCCCCGCAAGGGGAGCGGCAGACGGGUGAGUAACGCGUGGGAACGUACCUUUUGCUACGGAACAGCUCCGGGAAACUGGAAUUAAUACCGUAUGUGCCCUUUCGGGGGGAAAGAUUUAUCGGCAAAGGAUCGGCCCGCGUCUGAUUAGCUAGUUGGUGGGGUAAUGGCCUACCAAGGCGACGAUCAGUAGCUGGUCUGAGAGGAUGAUCAGCCACACUGGGACUGAGACACGGCCCAGACUCCUACGGGAGGCAGCAGUGGGGAAUAUUGGACAAUGGGGGCAACCCUGAUCCAGCCAUGCCGCGUGAGUGAUGAAGGCCUUAGGGUUGUAAAGCUCUUUCGUCAGGGAAGAUAAUGACGGUACCUGAAGAAGAAGCCCCGGCUAACUUCGUGCCAGCCGCCGCCGUAA
rnacentral:rRNA from 1 species